rnacentral:rRNA from 1 species
GGCCAAGCUACUAAGGGCACAUGCUGGAUGCCUCGGCACGGGGAGGCGACGAAGGGCGUGGCAAGCUGCGAUAAGCCCCGGGGAGGCGCAAGCAGCCUUUGAUCCGGGGAUUCCCGAAUGGGGCAACCCGGCGCGGGUAAUGCCGCGUCACCCCCCGCUGAAUACAUAGGCGGGGAGGGGCCAACGGGGGGAACUGAAACAUCUUAGUACCCCCAGGAAAAGAAAGCAAAAGCGAUUCCCCAAGUAGCGGCGAGCGAAAGGGGAACAGCCCAAACCGGAGGUAUGCCAAGCCCGCGCGCGUUGUACCUCCGGGGUCGUGGGAGAAGGCCGGAGGGGUGCGCGGACCCCUCGGGGAGUUACAAAACCGCCCUCUAGCCGAACCGUCCUGGAAAGGCGGGCCGCAGAGGGUGAUAGCCCCGUAGGCGAAAGGGGAGCGGUCUCCCUGGGCCUUCAUCCCAAGUACCACGGGGCACGGGAAACCCUGUGGGAAUUAGGGAGGACCACCUCCCAAGGCUAAAUACUCCCCCGUGACCGAUAGUGGACUAGUACCGUGAGGGAACGGUGAAAAGAACCCCGGGAGGGGAGUGAAAUAGAACCUGAAAGCAUGUGCCUACAAGCAGUCGGAGGGGAGAGGCCUCCUUCGGGGGACCUCGUCCCUGACGGCGUACCUUUUGCAUAAUGGGCCGGCGAGUUACCGUGCGCCGCGAAGUUAAGGGGUUCUAGCCCCGGAGCUGCAGCGAAAGCGAGUCCUAACCAGGGCGUCCAGUGGCGUGCGGUAGACCCGAAGCCGGGUGAUCUACCCAUGGCCAGGGUGAAGCGGCCGUAAAAGGUCGUGGAGGCCCGAACCCACCAGGGUUGAAAACCUGGGGGAUGAGCUGUGGGUAGGAGUGAAAGGCUAAUCAAACCCGGAGAUAGCUGGUUCUCCCCGAAAUAUAUUUAGGUAUAGCCUCGCAGCAGAGUGGCGGAGGUAGAGCUACUGGACGGGCUAGGGGCCCUGAUGGGCUACCAAACCCGACCAAACUCCGAAUGCCGCCACCUCGGUCUGCGGGAGUCAGGCCGCGGGGGAUAAACUCCGUGGCCGAGAGGGGAACAACCCAGACCGCCAGCUAAGGCCCCAAAGUGUGGGCUAAGUGGUAAAGGAGGUGGAAUCACGCAGACAGCCGGGAGGUUGGCUUAGAGGCAGCCAUCCUUUAAAGAGUGCGUAACAGCUCACCGGUCGAGUGGUUCUGCGCCGACAAUUCACGGGGCUUAAGCCCACCGCCGAAGCUGCGGGUCGUCCGGAGGUCCUUCCUCCGGACGGCGGUAGGGGAGCGUUCCCUAAGCCUGCGAAGGUACGCCGUAAGGCGUGCUGGAGGUAUGGGAAGCGAGAAUGCCGGCAUGAGUAGCGAUAAAGGGGGUGAGAAUCCCCCUCGCCGAAAGUCUAAGGUUUCCUGGGGAAGGUUCGUCCGCCCAGGGUUAGUCGGCCCCUAAGGCGAGGCCGAAAGGCGUAGCCGAUGGGAAGCGGGUUAAUAUUCCCGCACCACCUGUACACCGCUUGAGCCGUGGGGGGACGCAGGAGCGUAAGGCCAGCCGGGCGUUGGUAGUCCCGGUCCAAGCGUGUAGGGGGAGCGGGCAGGCAAAUCCGUCCGCUCUUAACCCCGAGACGCGAUGGGGAGGGGCUUUGCCCCAUAAACUGGCCCCAAGCACACUGCCGAGAAAAGCCUCGUUCGGCGAGGUGUACAGGUGACCGUACCGCAAACCGACACAGGUAGAUGGGGUGAGUAUCCUAAGGCGCGCGAGAGAACCCCCGUCAAGGAACUCGGCAAAUUGACCCCGUAACUUCGGGAGAAGGGGUGCCUCCUGGGGUGAAGGGACUCGCUCCCGGAGCCUUGGGGGGCCGCAGAGAAUUGGCCCUGGCGACUGUUUACUAAAAACACAGGUCUCCGCUAACUCGUAAGAGGAAGUAUGGGGACUGACACCUGCCCGGUGCCGGAAGGUUAAGGGGAGCCGUUAGCCCCUUCGGGGGCGAAGCGGUGAACCGAAGCCCCGGUAAACGGCGGCCGUAACUAUAACGGUCCUAAGGUAGCGAAAUUCCUUGUCGGGUAAUUUCCGACCUGCACGAAUGGUGUAACGACUGGGGCGCUGUCUCGACGGGGGACUCGGCGAAAUUGUAGUUCCGGUGAAGAUGCCGGAUACCCGCGGCGGGACGAAAAGACCCCGGAACCUUUACUGCAGCCAGAUAUUGGGCUUUGGCAUGGCAUGCGUAGGAUAGGUGGGAGGCUAUGAAGCGGGGACUCCGGUUCCCGUGGAGCCGCCGGUGAAAUACCACCCUUGCUAUGUCGGGGCUCUAACCCUGACCCGUGAAUCCGGGCAGGGGACAGUGUCUGGUGGGCAGUUUGGCUGGGGCGGCCGCCUCCUAAAGGGUAACGGAGGCGCCCAAAGGUCCCCUCAGCGCGAUUGGUAACCGCGCGUAGAGUGCAAAGGCAUAAGGGGGCUUGACUGCGAGAGGGACACCUCGAGCAGGUGCGAAAGCAGGGCUUAGUGACCCGACGGUGGCGUGUGGGAGCGCCGAAGAUCAACGGAUAAAAGGUACUCCGGGGAUAACAGGCUGAUCCUGCCCGAGAGUCCACAUCGACGGCGGGGUUUGGCACCUCGAUGUCGGCUCGUCGCAUCCUGGGGCUGGAGAAGGUCCCAAGGGUGGGGGUGUCCACCCCUUAAAGCGGCACGCGAGCUGGGUUUAGAACGUCGUGAGACAGUUCGGUCUCUAUCUGCCGCGGGCGCAGGAUACCUGAGGGGGGCUGUCCCUAGUACGAGAGGACCGGGAUGGGCCGACCUCUGGUGUACCAGUUGUCCUGCCAGGGGCAUCGCUGGGUAGCCACGUCGGUAAGGGAUAACCGCUGAAAGCAUCUAAGCGGGAAGCCCGCCCCAAGAUGAGGUAUCCCGGGCGUAAGCCCCUGAAGGCCCCUGGGAGAUUACCAGGUCGAUAGGCCGCAGGUGGAAGCCGGGUAACCGGUGCAGCCGAGUGGUACUAAUAGGCCGUGCGGCUUGGCCGAACCUUCCUC